rnacentral:lncRNA from 1 species
CGCUAACGAGACCACAAGUUAUUUCUGCAGAGUUUUUAUCAAUAUCUUUCCUGUAUACAGCUUUUAUAUUUUUAUCGUAAGUAUUUAUAUUAAUUGUUGUGAUUACGUUAUCGUAUUUUAGAAAUGUGAGCAUAUCAUGUUGUUAUGAAAACUGUACUGAAAAGUUGAAAUUUUACACGUGAAAAAGGGGGAUGUUUAGGAUAAUCUAAUGAUUGACCUUAGGAACAGGACAGGAUCAGGAUAGCAUGUUACCAUUCCCAAAAUAUCUUGCAACGUCUCAUGAAUUUUUAUCAUUGACUAUUUGAAAUAAUACGAAUGAAUCAAAACUAAGAACCUCCCUUUACCAUCCUCGAAUAUGUCAAUUAGACAGAUAUCCAUGCCGCAGCACAAAUAUACAGAAAAAGACAUAAGUGGAUAAACCUUCAAUUUGUUCAAAUUAAAAUGUAGUAUUUAGGAUUUUCUUGCAGAUCAUAGCUUCUAGUCUAUCUAAAAGGAAAUGUAGUUGAGACUUCAAAGGACAACUGUUAUUUACUUUAGUUUUCACUGGUUCUUAUGCUUUUGAUUUAUACUUUAAAGUAAUAUCAAUUAUCAUUAUGAAGUUAUUAAUAGUUAAAUGUGUUGAACAGAAUUAAACUUGACACUGUUACAACUUUUGAUUUUGUAGAUGUCAUCAUGAAGACCUAGAUGAAAUCACGGAACAGCAAUUCAAGUGUCUGACAAAACAAUAAACUUUCUAAAAUUGGCUCCAAAAAGACCAGGUGUGAGAAAAAAGAAGUUGAAGUUUCACUAUUAAUAAAUAAAUUUAUUUUAA